GACGAACGCUGGCGGCGUGCUUAACACAUGCAAGUCGAACGGUGAAGCGCCUUCCUUUUUGGUUGGUGUGGAUGAGUGGCGAACGGGUGAGUAACACGUGAGUAACCUGCCCCUUUCUUCUGGAUAACCACAUUAAAGUGUGUCUAAUACGGGAUAUUCUGGGUCUGUCGCAUGAUGGGUCUGGGAAAGUUUUUGUUUCUGUGGGGGAUGGGCUCGCGGCCUAUCAGCUUGUUGGUGAGGUGAUGGCCUACUGUGGCGGUGACGGGUAGCCGGGCUGAGAGGCCGAACGGUGACAUUGGGAAUGAGACGCGGAACCGACUCCUACGGGAGGCAGCAGUGGUGAAUAUUGCACAGUGGGGGGUAGACUGAUGCAACGGCGACGCGUAAGGGAUGGAGCACUUGGGGUUGUGAGCCUCUUGCGACAGUGAAGCAGGCCUGACUGGUUUGUGAAUGGGUUGACGGUAACUAGAUAAGAAGCGCCGGCUAACUCCGUG
rnacentral:rRNA from 1 species